UUUUAAAAAAAAAAAAUUUAAAAUCACAAUACUGCUACAAAUACAAUUUUUUCUGCAUGGACGAUGAUAGUAGUAAACGGAACUGACAAUGAAAAAUUU